rnacentral:rRNA from 1 species
GCCCCUCUAAGUAAGUAGCGGCAAGGCGCGCCCAGGCGCCGCCCCGCAAGCCGCAGCCGCCGAAGCCAGCAGNUGCAGCGCGAGGCAGCGGCAGCCCGGGGGCCUCGCGCACGUGAAGAGGGAGUCAUAUUGUGGCGCUGGGCAAGCAGCGCCGCCAGCUUGCGCGGCACGCCAACAGGGCAGCAGCGGCCAUUUUGCCGCUGCCGCCUCGGCGCCGCAGCGCCGGCGGCAGCCUGCCAUCUCUUGCUCCAAGCGCAGGCGGUUAUAAAUAUAUCCGCAGGCAGCGCGACGCCGCCGCGAGGGGCGAGCCUGGAGCCGCGCGUUCGCAGGCGCCCAAGGCGCGCAGCCGUGCUCGCAGCGUAAAGUGCGCCGCGCCAGAGCCUGCCCUGCGCAGGGCCAGACGCCACCAAAACAAAGCCCGUGAGUGUCCUGGG